CCUACGGGUGGCAGCAGUGAGGAAUAUUCGUCAAUGGGCUUACGCCUGAACCAGCCAAGUCGCGUGAGGGAAGACUGCCCUCUGGGUUGUAAACCUCUUUUGUCAGGGAGCAACGCCGGCUACGUGUAGCCUGACUGACAGUCCCUGCAGACUAAGCAUCCGCUAACUCCGUGCCAGCAGCCGCGGUAAUACGGAGGAUGCGAGCGGUCUCCGGAUUUAGUGGGUUUAAAGGGUGCGUAGGCGGACUGCCAAGUCAGCGGUAAAAUCGCGGGGCUCAACCCCGCUCCGCCGUUGAAACUGGCGGUCUGGAGUGGGCGAGAAGUAAGCGGAAUGCGUGGUGUAGCGGUGAAAUGCAGAGAUAUCACGCAGAACUCCGAUUGCGAAGGCAGCAUACCGGGGCCCAACUGACGCUGAAGCACGAAAGCGUGGGUAUCGAACAGGAUUAGAUACCCGAGUAGUC
rnacentral:rRNA from 1 species